rnacentral:rRNA from 1 species
AUGGAGGCCGAGCCAGCACGCCAGAAUAGCCCAACUGAGAUCACAAUUGACGGCCCUGAGCCAGAUCCUUCUCCUGCCACCAAUCUAACAAAUGGAAACAGACAGCCCCAGGAUCCUCAGCCUCCUGCACAACGGGAACCAGAAGAGAUCAAGAGCUACGAGCUCAUGCUGGACCUGAGCAAGUACAUCCUGCUGCUGGCGACGCUGGUCGCCACGGUGACAUAUGCCGCGGGGUUCAACCCGCCUGGGGGCGUCUGGCAGGAGACUGUCGACGCCACGGGCCAACUCGCCGGCGACUCCAUUAUCCGGACCACCAGCUACCACCGGUACCUGGUGUUCUACUACUGCAACGCCACCGCGUUUGCCUCGUCGCUCGUGAUCAUCGUCGCCAUCCUCUUCCUUGCCCUCGUGGAAGAGAAAAAGAAGAACCGCGUCACCCUCCUGCCACUGCGGGCGGUCAUGGUUCUGGACCUGCUAAGCAUCAUGGGAGCCUAUGCCGCCGGGACAUGCCGCGACAAGCCCACGACCAUCUUCUCCUCGGUGCUGGUGGUUGCCGUCGUUGCCUACCUCGCUCUUCAGAUGGGGCUAGCCUCGUUGCCAGACGACAAGCACAGCUACAUCGACGCAGUGCACGAGAAACGGCUACGAAAGGUCCUGAUGCUGCUCGCGACGUUCGCGGUGAGCGUGACAUACGUUGCAGGGAUGAGCACGCCAGGCGGCUUCUGGGACAACACUGAGAACGGCCACAGCCCUGGCGACGCAAUCCUCAAGGACAGCCACGGCAAGCGCCUGACGGUGUUCUUGUGCUUCAAUGCCCUGGCGUUCGUGGCGUCGUUGCUCAUCGUCGUGGUGCUUCUGGACAGAAAACCUCGUGUGACUGAGGCAUACUGGUUCAUCGCCGUCGCGCUGAUCAGCCUCAUCGUCUCAUACACCGCAGGCAGCUGCAGGGAGACCGACACCAACUUCUAUGUGGGCAGCCUGGUUAUUGCCGUCCUGGCAUUCAUGGCAUUGCUCCAAGUUGCACGGGAUACCAGGUUCUGGACCAAAAUCAAAAGCUUCCAUCGCUCCGUGUCAGGGAGCUUGCCAAAAGCAAUAACAAUAGCUCCUGGUCCGGAGACUAAUGACAGCAGGAUGGCAGCGGAGCAGGCUCGCUCCCUUGUACUGUUGCUAGCCACUCUUGCAGCAACCAUCACUUACCAAGCCGGGCUGGACCCUCCCGGUGGCGUCUGGCCGGAUAAUGGGAACGGGCACAUGGCUGGUGACCCGAUCCUCCUCACAGUGAAUGCUAAGCGGUACAAGGCCUUCUUCUACUGUAACUCCGUCGCCUUUGUAGCCUCUUUGGUGGCCAUCAUCCUGGUACAAAGCAAGGUUAUGCUCCAGACCCAUGUCCUCCAGGAAGCCAUGAUACUGGACUUGUUUGGCCUCAUCGGAGCAUAUGCUGCGGGAAGCUCUCGGGACUUGACCACCUCCAUUUAUGCCAUGGCCUUGGCAGGCGCCGUCCUGGUCUAUGUAGUGAUCCAUGUUGUCUUCUUUACACUGAACCACACCGAAGCCACUGCUGAGGAAAUUGAGUCCGUGGAGAAGAGGCGCAAGCGGUUGCUCCUUUUCGCAGUAUUGGCUGCGACCAUCACUUACCAAGCAGGGUUGACACCUCCGGGCAGCUUCCGGCUUCAGGAUGAUGGAUCCAGCGGGCACCGGGCAGGGGACCCGGUCCUCUUGUACAACUUUCCCCGCCGCUACAAAGCCUUCUUCUACUGCAAUACGGUGAGCUUUAUGCUGUCCAUCGCCCUCAUUAUAUUGCUCGUGAACCCCCAUUUAUAUAGGCCAGCCAUACGAAGUUAUGCACUCGCUGUUUGCACGGCGGCGGGCAUGUUUGGUCUGAUAGGGGCCUAUGCUGCCGGAAGCACCCAGCAUCUGAAAACAUCCAUCUACAUCUUUGUCUUGGGGGUUGUGGUCCUCUUUGUCAUAGCUGCACUGUUCCUACCGUUCUUGGAUAAGAAAGAUACGGUCAGUGAACUGAAGCAAGAGAAUGCUGACAAAAAAGGAAAGACAGAGCAUGCCAAGCGAAAAUAUCUGAUGCUGCUAGGAAUCCUUGUGGCAAGUGUCACCUACCAGGCUGGUCUAGAUCCGCCUGGGGGAGCUUGGCAGCACGACAGCAGUUGGUAUGAUGCAGGCAACCCGAUCAUGCAUGACAACAGGAGGCCCCGGUACCUCGCCUUCUUCUACAGCAACUCCACCUCCUUUGUGGCGUCCAUUGUUGUCAUCGUCAUGUUGCUGCCGCAGUGGCUGGAUAAGAAUAAAGAAUGGUCGCUUAAGGUCAUGAACACGACAAUUGUGCUGGAUUUGCUUGCCCUGCUAGUGGCAUAUGCGGCUGGAUCCAGCAGGGGGUGGAAGACAUCUGUGUAUGUCAUCGCGCUGAUCAUCGCCGUCCUGGCCUACGUUGCAAUCCAUAUAAUGCUGGCAUUGUUAUGUUCUCGUUCUCAUAGCGCUGUCAUUCCUCGGCAAAGGACUCCAGGCGCCCAAGCAAAUUCUCAAUCACAGGAGCACGCGAGGAAUCAGGCACAAUUUGCUGCAAUGUCAACACCUUGA